AUUGAACGCUUGCGGCAGGCCUAACACAUGAAAGUCGGACGAGUGGCGGACGGGUGAGUAAUAUCUGGGAACGUGCCCGAUGGAGGGGGAUAACUGCUGGAAACGGUAGCUAGUACCGCAUACCCUCGGAUGUGCCCAGAUGGGCGUAGCUAGUCGGUGGGGUAAGGGCUCACCUAGGCGACGAUCCCUCGCUGGUCUGAAAGGUUGACAAGCCAUACUGGAACUGAGACACGGUCCAGACUCCGAAGGGAGGCAGCAGCGGGGAAUAUUGCACAAUGGCGGCAAGCCUUAUGCAGCCCUGCCGCUUGUAUGAAGAAGUCCUUCGGGUUGUAAAGUACUUGCAGCGAGGAGGCGUUACUCGCAGAAGAAGCACCGGCUAACUCCGUGCCAGCAGCCGCGGUAAUAC
rnacentral:rRNA from 1 species